AUGGAGGUGGCGCCGGAUCUGAGCGCCGUGUCGGCGCUGGCGCUGCAGGUGGACCUCCUACAGCUGCCGCCGGAGAUCCCCGCGCCGGGGGCGCCCGCGCUGCGCGGCGUCCUCGACCACCUCUUCGCGCACUGGCUCUCCCUCCCCGACACCGUCGCGCUGGUCAGCUGCCUGGCCCAGAAGGCCAAGGCCAACGGCGCGGGCUUCGCCGGGGGCGCCAUGUUGCCGUCCAUGAUGAUGCAGGGGGGCGCCAACGUGCCGCCGCUCUCGCCGAGGUCGCCCCGCCUCUCUAGGAAGCCCAGCGGGGUCGGCGGACACUCCAACCGUUGCGCGUCCCCGCUCCGGCCGGCCACCGCGCGCGCCGUCAAGGAGGUCAUUCCACAGUUCUAUUUCCGAGAUGGACGCCCGCUGCCAUACGAGCAGAAGAGGCAAUGCAUAUCUAUAGUCGAGCAGCUCUUCGCCGGGCACUCCAAUGGUCUUCGGAUUCAAGAAUUUCGGAUGGUUACCAGGGAGCUCUGCAAACUACCGUCGUUCUUUACCACUGUUCUUUUUGGAAAGAUCGAUAAGGAUAACACUGAAUUUGUCUCAAGGGAUGCCUUUAUGGAUUUCUGGGUGAAUAGCAAUAUGAUGACUAUGGACAGUGCAACCCAAGUAUUUACGAUUUUGAAGCAACCAGAUCAUGAUUACCUCACAAAGGAAGAUUUCAAACCAGUUCUUCGAGACCUUUUGGACAACCAUCCUGGCCUGGAAUUCUUAAAGAGCACGCCGGAAUUUCAGGAAAGAUAUGCUGAGACUGUCGUAUAUAGGAUAUUUUAUUGCUUGAAUCGAAUUGGAAAUGGCCUUCUCAGUCUGAGGGAGCUGAAACGUGGAAAUCUGCUUGAUUCGCUGCGGCAUGCUGAUGAUGAAGAGGAUAUCAAUAAAGUUUUAAGGUAUUUCUCAUAUGAGCAUUUCUAUGUGAUAUACUGCAAGUUCUGGGAACUCGAUACGGACCACGAUUUCUUUAUUGACAAAGAAAAUCUUAUUAAGUAUGGAAACCAUGCGUUGACAUAUAGGAUUGUAGAUAGAAUUUUCUCGGAGGUUCCCAGGAAAUUUACCAGCAAGAUUCCAGGGAAAAUGUGUUACGAAGAUUUUGUUCAUUUUAUUUUGUCUGAAGAGGAUAAAUCAUCAGAACCAAGCCAAGAUUAUUGGUUUAAAUGUAUAGAUUUGGAUGGCAACGGCAUACUCACACACAUUGAACUACAGUACUUUUUUGAGGAGCAACUUCAUCGCAUGGAAUGCAUGGCCCAGGAACCUGUACUGUUUGAGGACAUAUUGUGUCAACUAGUUGAUAUGAUAGGACCAGAGGAUGAUACCUUUUUUACCAUAAAAGACUUCCGGAGGUGCAAAUUGUCCGGGCAUUUCUUCAAUGUUCUCUUCAACCUCAACAAGUUCAUGGCUUUUGAAUCUAGAGACCCAUUCCUCAUUCGCCAGAUGCGUGAAGAGCCAUCCUUGACCGACUGGGAUCGUUUUGCUCGGAGAGAAUAUAUAAGAUUGGCAAUGGAAGAAGAUGGUGAAGAUGCUUCCAAUGCAAGUGGAGAUGUUUGGGACGAGUCACUUGAAUCUCCGUUCUAA
rnacentral:rRNA from 1 species